rnacentral:rRNA from 1 species
UACGGAGGGUGCAAGCGUUGUUCGGAAUUAUUGGGCGUAAAGCGCGUGUAGGCGGCCUUGUAAGUCAGUUGUGAAAGCCUUCCGCUUAACGGAAGAACAGCAUCUGAUACUGCAAGGCUAGAGUGCGGAAGGGGAGAGUGGAACGUUACUGGUGGAGCGGUGAAAUGCGUAGAUAUCAGAAGGAACACCGGCGGCGAAGGCGACUCUCUGGUCCGUAACUGACGCUGAGUGUGCGAAAGCU